rnacentral:lncRNA from 1 species
ACUCUCAGGGCCCCCCUGGAUAAUCCUCACUGUUACACUCAGGCCCCCCGGAUAAUCCUCACCGUUACACUCAGGGCCCCCCUGGAUAAUCCUCGCUGUUACUCUCAGGGCCCCCUGGAUAAUCCUCACUGUUACACUCAGGCCCCCCGGAUAAUCCUCACUGUUACACUCAGGCCCCCCGGAUAAUCCUCACCGUUACACUCAGGGCCCCCCCGGAUAAUCCUCACUGUUACACUCAGGCCCCCGGAUAAUCCUCACUGUUACACUCAGGGCCCCCCGGAUAAUCCUCACUGUUACAC